UUUCUUUGUUGCACGCCGUUGUACACGAAGUUGCUGCUUUAUUGAAGAGACGGAAUUUGUUAGUGGAUUGGAGGAGGAGCAAUGGAACUUUCUAAACGGAAAGGGAAGGCCGUCUGUGUAGCCAAGGGAAAGGAAACUGUUGCUCAUCAAGUGCUGGAUGGUGAUUUGGAGAAAAUUGUUAAGUUUCUUCGAGAAAAGAAUGUUGGCAUAGUGAUCUGUGAUGAACUAGAAUUGAAUCAGGUGAUCAAUUGGACUGGUUUGAGAGGUAUUGCCUUAUGUCAGGCAGUUUUGGCUUGGUUUAUGAUUUACGAGGCAAACAUGUCCAUUGGAACUCCAACAACAGCAACUAGCAGAUUAUACUCCGUAAUAUGGCAUCGCCAGCACUGCUUUCGUUUGUUUACUAUAUGCUGCUUGUCCUUUGAUUUCAGAGGCACGGCUUUGGGCGUCAACCUAAUGCAAAGAAUAAGAAGGACAAGAAGGCACACAAAGUGACAACCUCUCGUGCGGAGCAGGAUGCAGUAUUAGAAGCAAGGAAAACAUCUACUAGACAGCCAGGCUCCAUAAACAAUUGGAAUAGGAGGUGCAAUUGCAGUCUUUGGGUUGGUUUUUGCUCUUGGAGAUUUUGUUCCCACGGG